AUUGUACGCUCGCGGCACGCCUUACACACGCAACUCGAGCGGAGCGGCGGACGGGUGCGUCAUGCCUAGGAACCUGCCUGGUAGCUGGGGCUAACGUCCGGAACGGGGCGCUAAUACCGCAUACUAUCAGAUGAGCCUAGGUCGGAUUAGCUAGUUGGUGGGGUAAAGGCCGACCAAGGCGACGAUCCGUAACUGGUCUGAGAGGAUGACCAGUCACACUGGGACUGAGACAUGUUCCAGACUCCUACGGGAGGCAGCAGUGGGGAAUCUUGGACAAUGGGCGGAAGCCUGAGCCAUCCAUACGGGGCGUGGUGUGAAGUCCUUGGGUUCGUGAAGCACGUUAUGUUGGGGGGCGUUAGCUGCAGAAUAGGCACCGGCUAACUACGUGCCAGCAGCCGCGGUAAUAC
rnacentral:rRNA from 1 species